UACGUAGGGGGCAAGCGUUGUCCGGAUUUAUUGGGCGUAAAGAGCGUGUAGGCGGCCAUACAGGUCAGCUGUGAAAACUCGAGGCUCAACCUCGAGACGUCGGUUGAAACCGUUUGGCUAGAGUCCGGAAGAGGAGAGUGGAAUUCCCAGUGUAGCGGUGAAAUGCGCAGAUAUCGGGAGGAACACCAGUGGCGAAGGCGACUUCCUGGCCUGUUCUUGACGCUGAGGCGCGAAAGCUAGGGGAGCAAACGGG
rnacentral:rRNA from 1 species